rnacentral:rRNA from 1 species
UACGUAGGGGCCUAGCGUUGUCCGGAAUCAUUGGGCGUAAAGAGCGUGUAGGCGGCCUGGUAAGUCCGCUGUGAAAGUCCAGGGCUCAACCCUGGAAUGCCGGUGGAAACUGUCAGGCUCGAGUCCGGAAGAGGCGAGUGGAAUUCCUGGUGUAGCGGUGAAAUGCGCAGAUAUCAGGAGGAACACCAAUGGCGAAGGCAGCUCGCUGGGACGGUACUGACGCUGAGACGCGAAGGCGUGGGGAGCAAACAGG